rnacentral:rRNA from 1 species
UACGAAGGGGGCUAGCGUUGUUCGGAAUCACUGGGCGUAAAGGGCGCGUAGGCGGCCGAUCCAGUCGGGGGUGAAAGCCUGUGGCUCAACCACAGAAUUGCCUUCGAUACUGUUUGGCUUGAGACCGGAAGAGGUAAGUGGAACUGCGAGUGUAGAGGUGAAAUUCGUAGAUAUUCGCAAGAACACCAGUGGCGAAGGCGGCUUACUGGUCCGGUUCUGACGCUGAGGCGCGAAAGCGUGGGGAGCAAACAGG